UGGGGAAUAUUGCACAAUGGGCGAAAGCCUGAUGCAGCAACGCCGCGUGAGUGAUGAAGGUCUUCGGAUUGUAAAGCUCUGUCUUUUGGGACGAUAAUGACGGUACCAAAGGAGGAAGCCACGGCUAACUACGUGCCAGCAGCCGCGGUAAUACGUAGGUGGCGAGCGUUGUCCGGAUUUACUGGGCGUAAAGGGUGCGUAGGCGGAUGUUUAAGUGAGAUGUGAAAUACCCGGGCUUAACUUGGGUGCUGCAUUUCAAAGCUGGAUAUCUAGAGUGCAGGAGAGGAGAAUGGAAUUCCUAGUGUAGCGGUGAAAUGCGUAGAGAUUAGG
rnacentral:rRNA from 1 species